rnacentral:rRNA from 1 species
UUCGGAUGAUUCUUAACUGACUGAGCGGCGGACGGGUGAGUAACGCGUGGGUGACCUGCCCCAUACCGGGGGAUAACAGCUGGAAACGGCUGGUAAUACCGCAUAAGCGCACAAUGUUGCAUGACAUGGUGUGAAAAACUCCGGUGGUGUGAGAUGGACCCGCGUCUGAUUAGCUAGUUGGCAGGGCAACGGCCUACCAAGGCGACGAUCAGUAGCCGACCUGAGAGGGUGACCGGCCACAUUGGGACUGAGACACGGCCCAAACUCC